rnacentral:rRNA from 1 species
UGCAGUCGAACGAGACCUUCGGGUCUAGUGGCGCACGGGUGAGUAACGCGUGGAAACCUACCAUUCUGUACGGAAUAACGAUUGGAAACGAUCGCUAAUACCGUAUACGCCCUGUGGGGGAAAGGUCCGCCGCAGAAUGAGGGGUCCGCGUCCGAUUAGCUUGUUGGUGGGGUAAAAGCCUACCAAGGCGAUGAUCGGUAGCUGGUCUGAGAGGAUGAUCAGCCACACUGGGACUGAGACACGGCCCAGACUCCUACGGGAGGCAGCAGUGGGGAAUAUUGGACAAUGGGGGCAACCCUGAUCCAGCAAUGCCGCGUGUGUGAAGAAAGGCCUUAAGGGGUUGUAAAGCACUUUUCAUGGUGAAGAAUGAUUGACGGGUAGCCGUAAAAAAAAGCCCCGGCUAUACUUCGUUGCCAGGCAGCCCGGCGGUAAUAUACAAGGGGGGCGAAGCGUUGUGUCGGAAUUACCUGGGGCGCAAAGGGCGGGCCAGGCGGCCAAUCCAGUCAGGGUGUGAAAAGCCCCGGGGCUUAACCUGGGAACUGCCCUUGAUACCUGAUUUGGCUAGAAAACGGAAGAGGGGCAGUGG